AUGAUUACUUCUUUUAGGUGUAAGUCAGCCAGCAUACUAUUAUGUUGGAAAACAAACAUUGCAUCAAUGACUACAAUCGUUGAAGAAAGUGACGAUGACAAUAAGGGAGAUCCUGAUGAUGUUCAAAUAUUGGAAAGUGUAGAUGAUAUUAAAAAAACAAAACAAAAAAUCCCAUUAUCUGUUGAAAAUAAAUAUAGAUCACUAAUAUCUAUUCUUUCUAAUAUGAGCAUGCAUGAGUUAACAGGUGCACUCUGUAACUUCAUUAAAUCAAUCAAAUACACCGAGAUUUUAGAGAAAGUAUGGAUCCAAAGUUCAAAUCCAUAUCCAAUUAGCUUGUCUCUCGGAAAGCUACAAGGAAUGCUACAGGAUGAUUUACCCAUGGAUCGAGAUUGCUUUAAUUUGGUCAUACGGAAGAUUAUGUUUGAUGACAUCCAAACGGCACAAAAAACAAAACAAUUGAUAACAAAGCAUUAUGUUGACAUGAAAUUUUGGAUGACUACUGAUUUUGGACGACACCCAAAAUUCCGCAAAAAGUUAGACGUGGAGCAACUAGCAAAUUCUGUUCGCAGUUGGCCUGGUAUCAAAUAUAAUGUUUCAACAUGCAAAUCGAUUCAUAUUCCAAUACAAUCCAACGGUUAUUUCAUUCUAUUCACAUUGGACAAAGAUACCACAACAGUCUACAUUUUGGACCCUACUCCUAUUAAACCCAUGUACCAAUGCAACCCACUCGCAAAAAAUGUGGAAAAAAUUAUAUGGAUUGCCAAACACUUACCGAAAGCAAUGUCAAAAGCAAUGUCAAAAGCAUGCCCUGGAUCUAGAUGGAACGAAAAUAUUCUCCUAUGGCAUCAAAAAAUCCUAGAUGAUAUUCCAGUUUACAACAGGGAACUGUCCGGUUAUGUUGUUCCCAUGUUCAUGUCCACAUGGGAAGAUGAAAGACCACAUUUGCCAUUUUUAAAGGAUGGAUAUGAACUCAGAAAACUAAUUUUGGGCCAACUGCUAACAUUCAAGGACAUUGAAUGUGAAGAUAACAUGCCUGCCGGUGUACUUGAAUUCAUCGGUUGUAUCAGGAAAAUCCAAUGUAAAACUGGACGUGCGUGCUAUUUCUCAAAAAAGAAGCUUCUCUAUUGGCCAACAUCCCCGGUGGUAGUUUUAGAUAUCCAGCAAAUGAAGGGCGCCUCAUAA
rnacentral:rRNA from 1 species